rnacentral:rRNA from 1 species
GACGUAGGGUGCGAGCGUUGUCCGGAUUUAUUGGGCGUAAAGAGCUCGUAGGCGGCUCGUCGCGUCGACCGUGAAAACCCGCGGCUUAACUGCGGGCUUGCGGUUGAUACGGGCGGGCUAGAGUUCGGUAGGGGAGACUGGAAUUCCUGGUGUAGCGGUGAAAUGCGUAGAUAUCUGGAGGAACACCGGUGGCGAAGGCGGCAUCCUGGACCAACACUGACACUGAUGAGCGAAAGCCAGGGGAGCAAACGGG